GGGGACCAGGGCGGGAUCACUUCCUUUCUAACCCUUAUGUUAUGUUCCUGUACCCCUAGACUGGGGCGUAACAUGGCUGCCCCAAAAGGAUUUUGUCGGACCAAGGCAGAGAGUUUGUGAAUGAACUCACCUCUGAUCUUUGCAAGCUACUGAAAAUCAAAAGAAGUGUCACAGCAGCGUAGCACAGACAAAUGGCCUCGAUGGAAAGACCAACAACAACAUAAAAAGAGCCCUCCAAAGAUUGGUAAAUGACCAGCAGAAUAACUGGGAUGUGUAUCUAGAUCCCACACUGUUUUCACUGAGGUCAAAAGUACACACCACCACAAAACGCUCACGUUUUUUUGUAAUGUAUGGAAGAGAAGCAGUAUUUCCAUCAGAAGUUCCUGUUGAAGUGCCGCUUAAGUUGAAGAACGGUUCAAUCUGCACCAUGCAAAGGCCAGAAAUAUUAUAGUGUGUAAAUUUGGCAUCCUCAAAACACGCUGGUGCUCCAUCUUCUUGUGAACUCUUGAGAUUCGGCUUCUGUUUGCCCCCUAAGUUGUGGGGGCCUGCUGCUUCCUCCACAAUAUCUGUGUGGCAACAGGUGAUGUCUUCCAAGAAGAAGGAGACGAGGAGGCGGCACAAGCAGGACCAGAAGCCGAAACAGAAGAAGGCUCAGGCGCAGACAGGGAGCUUUCAGGAACUUGUAUUCGAGGCUGCACAAGUAUCUGCUCCUGAACAGCUGCCUGCAUGUCUGUUUGAACGUGACUACGUCUAGAAAAGGUUUCAUCUGUCAAAUGUAUUCAUCCUCAAACAGAUAUGUAUGCAGCUAAGGCCACAAGAAAUGGCCUCCUGCUGGUUUUAUAAAAAGUUGGAUGUUGCUGUAUGUGUAGUUGAAAUCCAUCUUUAUUUGUUCACAUUGUAAAUUGUGUGCAUCAGUGUUCUUUUUUUGUAUAUUUUUGUGUAUUUUUUAUAAACCUCAUGUGUGUUCAUGAUUGUAUAGGUUGAAUUUAAUGUUAACUGUUUUCUUAGGAGCGUAGAUGCAGUUUGAUUUCUUGUGCUUAAAAUACUUUUAUCUUGAUAGUCUGCAGAGACAGGAAGUUAGGCGAGAGGAGAGUGGAGGCACACUGUUUUUUGACCUCUCAAUCUAUUUUUGAACUGAGCUUUGUAAGUUUUGAUAAUUCUGAAUUCAGUUACUGUGUACCUGUUUGGAGAUUUGGAAGUAAAUAUUGAAAAACU